ACCAAGAGCUUGCUCAACAGAGAGGAGACACAGCUGCCAGGAAGCACCAGGUUCCCUGAAGAAGGGCCAUUUCUAAAAAUACCUGCUGACACAGGAGUGCUGGUCCCUCUUUGAGAACCCAGUCUCUGGGCUGGGGCCAUAUCUCCAGCUGAGGUGGGCUGGAAAGGAGCCCCCAGACAGCUCAGCUUAAGCCAUGGCCUCUGCACGCAUCUCAAUGCUUGCAAUUCUCUUCACACUGAGUGGGCUGAGAGCUCAGUCGGUGACUCAGCCAGAAGAUCAGGUCACUGUGACCGAAGGGGAUCCAAUGACUGUGAAGUGCACCUAUUCAAUUUCUGGGAGCCCUUAUCUCUUUUGGUACGUCCAGUUUCCCAACCAAGGCCUCCAGUUCCUUCUGAAAUACUUUACAGGGGACAGCCUGGUUAAAGGCAGCAAUGGUUUUGUGGCUGAAUUUAAUAAGAGCCAAACCUCUUUCCACCUGAAGAAAUCAUCUGCCCUCGGGAGUGACUCUGCUGUGUACUUCUGUGCUGGGAGUGACACAGUGGUGGGGGCUGCAGGGUGAGCUGAACACAAACCCCUGAGAACAGUAAAAACCAUUUCCCUGAAGCCUUUAUGUCCCUCCACAAGAGGGUGGUGUGGU